rnacentral:lncRNA from 1 species
CCAAGUCCUGCUCAUACUCUCGGCCAGUUGCCAGGAAAAGUGUAAAUUUUCGUGAGCUCAGGCUGCUUUGCCAGAAGUCUGCAAUGUGUCUGGACAUGAACGGUUGUUCCCUUUUGUGAGGCCAGGCCUGAGCACCAGGAAGUUCUAGAAGCAGCACAUGGAGAGAGAUGGAGUGAACCAAAAAAGGGGCAAAAACAGCCUGUCUGCAGUAGACAAGGCUUGCCCAGGCUUGGCAGAGAAGAAAAUAAAAAGACAUUCUGAGACAAUUUGAAAGAAAAGAUUUUUAAAAUGCAAAACAGCAAAGAUCACCAAACAAGGAUGGGACAAUAUUAACCCAUCUUCCAAGCUGGAUCAUUCUUGCUGUGCCAGGAUGGGUGAGCUUCAUACAUUCAGAAACUGCCAAGACCCCGAAGGAUUUUUUCCCCUCCCAGAAAUUCUUUGGGAAUUUGAAACCCACUUCAAGGAAGGAAAAAAAAAAAAGGAAAUCCAUCUUACAGUAUUAGUCACCAAGAUGGGUGUGAAGACAACGGGCUAUAAACCAAACUCGGCUCCAUCUCCAAGACCAAAGAACAGUCUCUAACAAACUGCUUUGAAUUUUAAGAAUUAGCAAUAAUGCUGGCAAACCGGUUUCCUUUUCUUAAAAAAUGAAAUAAUAAUAAUUUGUUUAAAACCUCCAAAUUGACUCCUAAUGUUACCACCAAAUAAAGAACAUGGGCUGAGACUUCAAGCAAAAGCCAGGAUGUUCAAAAGCCAGAGAAAAACACUUAGCUAUGAAAAAAUAAAAAUAUGAGUUGGAAAUAAAAUCCCAGGGAAGCAAAUUUGGUGUGCACUAGAGGUCUUGCAUUCUACCAGCAAAAGCAGGCAGUG